AGAGGAUUCGAUGAGUUUGAUCGUGGCUCAGGACGAACGCUGGCGGCGUGCCUAAUACAUGCAAGUCGAGCGCGGGAAGCGAGCUGAUCCCUUCGGGGUGACGCUCGUGGAACGAGCGGCGGACGGGUGAGUAACACGUGGGCAACCUGCCUGUAAGAUCGGGAUAACUCCGGGAAACCGGGGCUAAUACCGGGUAAUACUUUCUUUCGCAUGAAGGAAAGUUGAAAGAUGGCUUCUCGCUAUCACUUACAGAUGGGCCCGCGGCGCAUUAGCUAGUUGGUGAGGUAACGGCUCACCAAGGCGACGAUGCGUAGCCGACCUGAGAGGGUGAUCGGCCACACUGGGACUGAGACACGGCCCAGACUCCUACGGGAGGCAGCAGUAGGGAAUCUUCCGCAAUGGACGAAAGUCUGACGGAGCAACGCCGCGUGAACGAUGAAGGUCUUCGGAUCGUAAAGUUCUGUUGUUAGGGAAGAACAA
rnacentral:rRNA from 1 species